UACGAAGGGGGCUAGCGUUGCUCGGAAUCACUGGGCGUAAAGGGUGCGUAGGCGGGCCCUUUAGUUCGGGGGGAAAUCCUGGAGCUCAACUCCAGAACUGCCUUUGAUACUGAAGAUCUUGAGUUCGGGAGAGGUGAGUGGAACUGCGAGUGUAGAGGUGAAAUUCGUAGAUAUUCGCAAGAACACCAGUGGCGAAGGCGGCUCACUGGCCCGAUACUGACGCUGAGGCACGAAAGCGUGGGGAGCAAACAGG
rnacentral:rRNA from 1 species